AUUCCAGCUCCAAUAGCGUAUACUAAAGUUGUUGCAGUUAAAAAGCUCGUAGUUGAAUUUCUGGUCGUGGCGAUCGGUCCGCCCCUCACGGGGUGUGCACCUGGUCUCUACGUCCAUCCUCGGGGAGAGCAUGCCUGGCAUUCAGUUGUCGGGUAUGGGAUCCUCGUCAUUUACUGUGAGCAAAAUAGAGUGUUCAAAGCAGGCUUAGGCCGUUGAAUACAUUAGCAUGGAAUAAUAAGAUAGGACCUUGGUCUAUUUUGUUGGUUUGCAUUCCAAGGUAAUGAUUAAUAGGGAUAGUUGGGGGUAUUCGUAUUCAAUUGUCAGAGGUGAAAUUCUUGGAUUUAUGGAAGACGAACUACUGCGAAAGCAUUUACCAAGGAUGUUUUCAUCA
rnacentral:rRNA from 1 species